UACGGGGGGGGUAAGCGUUGUUCGGAAUUACUGGGCGUAAAGGGCUCGUAGGCGGCCAACUAAGUCAGACGUGAAAUCCCUCAGCUUAACUGGGGAACUGCGUCUGAUACUGGAUGGCUUGGAUUUGGGAGAGGGAUGCGGAAUUCCAGGUGUAGCGGUGAAAUGCGUAGAUAUCUGGAGGAACACCGGUGGCGAAGGCGGCAUCCUGGACCAACAUUGACGCUGAGGCGCGAAAGCCAGGGGAGCGAACGGG
rnacentral:rRNA from 1 species